rnacentral:lncRNA from 1 species
AUGGAGGACAGGGUGGAGCCGGGAGGGAGGGGCACUCGGCGCGGGAGUAAGGGGGGGAGGGGCGGAAAGGUGGAAGAGCUGGAGCGCAGGGUGAAGAAAGAACCGGGAAGGCGCGCACGGGAGAGCACGGCCUGGGGCGUGGCUUGGGCCGGGGGCGUGGCGCAGGACGCGGCGCGGGUACGUCUGGCCCCCCAGCUUCCGCUCAGCCCCCUUCUGGCGCUGGGGGCCGCCGGAGCCCGUUUCCUACGCGGGGCACGCGGCCGGAAGGCCGGGCCGCCUCCCCGUCUCGGGGCUCCUGCGGUGGAGUCCGCACCCCGAGGGUCGCUCGGGAGCGAGUGCACGCCCGUCUCUCGGGGCUGGCCGGGCCGGUUUGCAGGCAGGGACCAUCCACUUAACUGCCACACCAGGAAUCUCAAAUAUGCAGGGACAAGAGAAAUACUUGUUUCUCAUCAGGCCCUUGGACACCCUCUGGCUAUAUACUCAGGGUGUGGUGGGAAUGAGCAGAGAAGGGCUUUGGUGUCAAUGGAUAGUUUAGCCUGGAGUGUUCCACAGAAACACAAAAGCAGAAUCGCUGUGCAUAAUGACAACCUUUGGCUGGAUCAGAGUGGGACCCAGGUUACGUAUCCUGAGGAGGAGCCUUAUGGCCCGUUUGGGUCAAGUGUCCACGUUGACCAAUCAGGUGUGUCUAAAAGGUGGAAUUAGUGAAAGAACUAUGCAGCUGCCCUAGGAACUAUGUUAAUUAUAUAGGGUAAGGUGAGGGUGCUAGAUAUCUCGUGCAUUCUAUAGCAGUCAAAGCCUAGCAAACAACCUCUGGACUUCUAAAGCAAGUUCCCAAGCUACCAGGAUUCUGGAAUAGAUGCAAACACUAGUGUUGGGUCACUGGGAAAUGGUUGUCACAUUUGGCAAGUAAUUAUUAUUUAUGGCUUAGAGCAGUACCUGGCACAUAGUAAUACUAUCUAGGUGUUAGUGAUUAUCAUCAUGAUGUUGAUGAUGAUAAUGAUGUUGAUGAUGAUGAUGGUGAUGAAGAUUAUGAUGAUGAUUACCCAUCCCUUUUAGGUAUAUGGGCAUAAUUCAGUUCUAGAACCACACAGAUAAUGACCAGGGUUAUGGUGAUCCCAUCAAGGCAGGGAUAGCCUGAGCCACCAGCCAGUACCCUCCACAUCUCCAUUUCAUCUCCUUAUAGCUUCACUACCAGUAAUAGCAAUUUUGAUGGAUGCCAGGAAUUCCAUUACUAGGAAGUAAUGACAAAUUUCCAGCAGGAGCCACAUUUUCCUUCUGCCAUUCACUGCUAAACACAUGGUACAUACUCAAUAAAUAGGUGAUGAAGGAAAGUGAUAAAUUAAAU